UCCAGACUCCUACGGGAGGCAGCAGUGAGGAAUAUUGGUCAAUGGCCGCAGGGCUGAACCAGCCAAGUCGCGUGAGGGAUGACGGUCCUAUGGAUUGUAAACCUCUUUUGUCAGGGAGCAAAGGGCGCCACGUGUGGCGUUUUGCGAGUACCUGAAGAAAAAGCAUCGGCUAACUCCGUGCCAGCAGCCGCGGUAAUACGGAGGAUGCGAGCGUUAUCCGGAUUUAUUGGGUUUAAAGGGUGCGCAGGCGGAAUGUCAAGUCAGGGGUAAAAUUUCGGGGCUCAACCCCGUCGUGCCGUUGAAACUGGCGUUCUUGAGUGAGCGAGAAGUAUGCGGAAUGCGUGGUGUAGCGGUGAAAUGCUUAGAUAUCGCGCAGAACCCCGAUUGCGAAGGCAGCGUACCGGCUCCACACUGACGCUGAGGCACGAAAGCGUGGGUAUCGAACAGGAUUAGAUACCCCAGUAA
rnacentral:rRNA from 1 species